UACGUAGGGUGCGAGCGUUAAUCGGAAUUACUGGGCGUAAAGGGUGCGCAGGCGGCCCCGCAAGUCAGACGUGAAAUCCCCGAGCUCAACUUGGGAAUGGCGUUUGAAACUACGGGGCUGGAGUGUGGCAGAGGGAGGUGGAAUUCCACGUGUAGCGGUGAAAUGCGUAGAGAUGUGGAGGAACACCAAUGGCGAAGGCAGCCUCCUGGGCCAACACUGACGCUCAUGCACGAAAGCGUGGGGAGCAAACAGG
rnacentral:rRNA from 1 species